UCGGGAAUUUUGGGCAAUGGGCGCAAGCCUGACCCAGCGACGCCGCGUGGAGGACGAAGCCCUUCGGGGUGUAAACUCCUUUAAGCAGGGACGAACGCAGACGGUACCUGCAGAAUAAGCCCCGGCUAACUACGUGCCAGCAGCCGCGGUAAUACGGAGGAUGCAAGCGUUAUCCGGAAUUAUUGGGCGUAAAGCGUCCGUAGGUGGUUGUUCAAGUCUGCUGUUAAAGCGUGCGGCUUAACCGAAUAU
rnacentral:rRNA from 1 species